GGCGCAGGCGGGAAUACAAGUCAGCUGUGAAAUUCCAGGGCUCAACCCUGGAACAGCAUCUGAAACUGUAUUUCUUGAGGACAGGCGGAGAAAACGGAAUUCCAUGUGUAGCGGUGAAAUGCGUAGAUAUAUGGAGGAACACCCGUGGCGAAGGCGGUUUUCUAGCUUGAUCCUGACGCUGAGGCCCGAAAGCUAGGGGAGCAAACAGGAUUAGAUACCCUGGUAGUCC
rnacentral:rRNA from 1 species